GACGAACGCUGGCGGCGUGCUUCACACAUGCAAGUCGAGCGGAGCGGCGAACGGGUGAGUAACGCGUGAGUAACUGCCCCCCUCUCUGGGAUAACAGUUGGAAACGGCUGCUAAUACCGGAUAGUGGGGGAUGACUCGCGUCCUAUCCGCUUGUUGGUGGGGUAGUGGCCUACCAAGGCGACGACGGGUAGCCGGCAUGAGAGGGCGACCGGCCACAUUGGGCUGAGAGACGGCCCAAGUGCGUACGGGAGGCAGCAGUUGGGAAUAGGGCACAAUGGGGGAAACCCUGAUGCAGCAACGCGGGGGCGGGAUGACGGCGUUCGGGUUGUAAACCGCUUUCAGCCAUGACGCGGUAGUGGCAGAAGAAGCACCGGCUAACUACGUGCCAGCAGCCGCGGUAAUUC
rnacentral:rRNA from 1 species